rnacentral:rRNA from 1 species
AUUGAACGCUGGCGGCAUGCUUUACACAUGCAAGUCGAACGGUAACAGGCCGCAAGGUGCUGACGAGUGGCGAACGGGUGAGUAAUGCAUCGGAACGUGCCCAGUCGUGGGGGAUAACGCAGCGAAAGCUGCGCUAAUACCGCAUACGAUCUAUGGAUGAAAGCGGGGGACCGUAAGGCCUCGCGCGAUUGGACCGGCCGAUGUCAGAUUAGGUAGUUGGUGGGGUAAAGGCUCACCAAGCCAACGAUCUGUAGCUGGUUUGAGAGGACGACCAGCCACACUGGGACUGAGACACGGCCCAGACUCCUACGGGAGGCAGCAGUGGGGAAUUUUGGACAAUGGGCGCAAGCCUGAUCCAGCAAUGCCGCGUGCAGGAAGAAGGCCUUCGGGUUGUAAACUGCUUUUGUACGGAACGAAACGGCUCUCUCUAAUACAGGGGGCUAAUGACGGUACCGUAAGAAUAAGCACCGGCUAACUACGUGCCAGCCGCCGCAGUAAAAC